rnacentral:misc_RNA from 1 species
GGGGCAAACCGGGAGAAGUGAAACAUCUCAGUAACCCGAGGAAAAGACAUCAAUAGAGAUUCCCCUAGUAGCGGCGAGCGAACGGGGAGGAGCCGACUGAUUAUAAUUUAGAGGAAUGACUUGGAAAGGUCAAUCGUAGAGGGUGAUAAUCCCGUACUCGAAAGGUUAUAAGAAGCAUAUUAAGUAGGGCGGAACAC